AUGCAUUCUCCAACGUUUCACAUUUGCCAAGCCAAAGCAUCCUUUCCCAAGAGCAAAAUCAUUGAUUUUCGAUAUUAAGAUGGUUCCAAAUAUUUCAAAGCAUAAUUUGUUGUUCAUCUAAAAACCCUAGCCGCAUAACUAAUUUCUCAGACUAAUUUAUCAGAAUGAAGGAUAGAGACGAAGGAGAAGAAUAAGAAGACUGAGGGGAAGAGAAAGGGGAAUGACUGGAUAUGAGGAUUUCUGUUGUUCUAUGUUGCAAAAUUAAUCUCGGUUAUUUUCAUGGAAUUUCACAGAUUUGGACGGAACCGAUUUUUGCAUAAGAGAAGUAGUAUUGGAAUCGUUAAUGAAAACCCUAAUUGUGGAGUUCCUUCAAUCUGUGGUAACCAUGCUCAAGGGAUAGAGUAUGAAAGACAACAUACAGGUGCAAUAUAGGUUUGAGGUUGAUAUAAAGGAGCAAAUUGACACCUCCACAUACAGUAAGAUGUUUAGUACUUAAUGGCCUAAAUUGUUCUACUGGAAGUUAAGAUCGGUUUGAUGAAGAAAGUUUUGAAAUU